CGAAGGGGGCUAGCGUUGUUCGGAAUUACUGGGCGUAAAGCGCAUGUAGGCGGCUUGGCAAGUCGGGGGUGAAAUCCUGGAGCUCAACUCCAGAACUGCCUUCGAUACUGCUUGGCUGGAGUAUGGAAGAGGUAGGUGGAACUGCGAGUGUAGAGGUGAAAUUCGUAGAUAUUCGCAAGAACACCAGUGGCGAAGGCGGCCUACUGGUCCAUCACUGACGCUGAGAUGCGAAAGCGUGGGGAGCAAACAGGAUUAGAUACCCUGGUAGUCCACGCCAUAAACGAUGAGAGCUAGCUGUUGGAGGGUUUACUCUUCAGUAGCGCAGAUAACUCGAUAAGCUCUCCGCCUGGGGAGUACGGUCGCAAGAUUA
rnacentral:rRNA from 1 species